rnacentral:rRNA from 1 species
GACGAACGCUGGCGGCAUGCCUAACACAUGCAAGUCGAGCGAGUAGAUCCCUUCGGGGUGAAGCUAGCGGCGGACGGGUGAGUAACACGUGGGCAACCUGCCUCAUAGAGGGGAAUAGCCUUCCGAAAGGAAGAUUAAUACCGCAUAAGAUUGUAGUACCGCAUGGUAUAGCAAUUAAAGGAGCAAUCCGCUAUGAGAUGGGCCCGCGGCGCAUUAGCUAGUUGGUGAGGUAACGGCUCACCAAGGCGACGAUGCGUAGCCGACCUGAGAGGGUGAUCGGCCACAUAGGGACUAGAUCACGGACCAGACUCCUACGGGAGGCAGCAGUGGGGAAUAUUGCACAAUGGGGGAAACCCUGAUGCAGCAAUGCCGCGUGAGUGAUGACGGCCUUCGGGUUGUAAAGCUCUGUCUUCGGGGACGAUAAUGACGGUACCCGAGGAGGAAGCCACGGCUAACUACGUGCCAGCCGCCGCAGUAA